GAUGAACGCUGGCGGCAUGCCUUACACAUGCAAGUCGAACGGCAGCACGGGAGCAAUCCUGGUGGCGAGUGGCGAACGGGUGAGUAAUAUAUCGGAACGUGCCCAGUCGUGGGGAUAACGUAGCGAAAGCUACGCUAAUACCGCAUACGAUCUAUGGAUGAAAGCGGGGGAUCGCAAGACCUCGCGCGAUUGGAGCGGCCGAUAUCAGAUUAGGUAGUUGGUGAGGUAAAGGCUCACCAAGCCGACGAUCUGUAGCUGGUCUGAGAGGACGACCAGCCACACUGGGACUGAGACACGGCCCAGACUCCUACGGGAGGCAGCAGUGGGGAAUUUUGGACAAUGGGCGCAAGCCUGAUCCAGCAAUGCCGCGUGCAGGAUGAAGGCCCUCGGGUUGUAAACUGCUUUUGUACGGAACGAAAGGUUUCUAUUAAUACUAGGAGCUCAUGACGGUACCGUAAGAAUAAGCACCGGCUAACUACGUG
rnacentral:rRNA from 1 species